rnacentral:rRNA from 1 species
AGCAGUAGCCGCGGGAACACAGAGGGUGCGAGCGUUAAUCGGAUUUACUGGGCGUAAAGCGUGCGUAGGCGGCUUCUUAAGUCGGAUGUGAAAUCCCUGAGCUUAACUUAGGAAUUGCAUUCGAUACUGGGAAGCUAGAGUAUGGGAGAGGAUGGUAGAAUUCCAGGUGUAGCGGUGAAAUGCGUAGAGAUCUGGAGGAAUACCGAUGGCGAAGGCAGCCAUCUGGCCUAAUACUGACGCUGAGGUACGAAAGCAUGGGGAGCAAACAGGAUUAGAUACCCCUGUAGUCCCUGUCUCUUAUAC